GGUGGUAGGGGGAGAUGCUCACAGCAUCUUACAACGAACAACAUCACCAACUUACAACGACAAAAGCAAGGUAAAACCGAACCUACUGUUAAUCUCUGAGAAGGAUACCCCGCCACGUGAUGGCUGAAGCCCACUGACCUGAGAGCAAGCUCCCAACCGCGCGGCCGGUUGGGAAGGAAGCGCGAAAGCACCGCCUCGCGCGCAGCAUCGCGCGCACCGGCGGGAAGCACCGCCUCGCGCUCAGCAUCGCGCGCACCGGCGGGAAGCACCGCCGCGCAGGGAAACUUCCCGAAGGAAAUGGUAGCCUGCCCUGAGCCUUGUCUCAGCUGGGCGAUAGGUUGGGCGCUGCGGCGAUAAUUGCGCUUAAAGCCUGCUGCUGCUUGUCGUCGGGUGCUUUUGUGACUAACAUACUUGAGUGCUGAAACACUAAAGAAAAGGAAGACCCUUUCUAAUGUAUGGAUGCAGACUGACCGUUGUAAAAUGUCAUUGCGCUCCACUAGAAAGUUGUAAAACUGCAUUUAGGAACCAUUAACUUUGAGGUUCUGGUCAACUGAUUGCUUGGGCCCUGUCAAUUGCACUCAGCCUGGUCUACAAAAAAAAGGGUCUUUGAGCUGUUGUCUCUUCUGCACAGGUGCCCAUUUUGCAACAAAAUGAGAUCCGGCAGGAAAUCAGCAGAGCCUGGAUUACACCCUACAAACACAGAUGGAUGAAGAAAUGGACAACUUUUUUCUAUAAACCGCAGGAGUCUGAGUUCAGAUUUCAAGUCAAAACGUGAAUCUGUGGACUAUGAUCAAGGACAGCCACGCAUUCCUGAGCAUACAGCCAGCCAGUGCUGAAGUUUUUGGGUCAAAAUUCAGACUCUUACAGAAUGACUCAUUAUUAAAAGGCUUGUCAGAUGAAGCCAUUGCUUUUCCCUAAUUCUUCUCCAGCCCUCUGUCUGUCUUGUUUUCCAGGCUAGACACACUUGUAUUUCUAGCUGUGAAUUUUUGAAAGUGGUAUGAUUAUACUGCUGGUAAGCACCCAAUCCAGAGUCUGGCGUAGCUAUGCAGACUAUACCAAAUACCUCUAGAAUUUCCUAGCAUUUCAGUCAGCAUUCACGUGUAUCAUCUAGCACUAAGUUUCUGGAAAAUUCCUCUGAGUAUCAUGCCACCCACAGAAGAAUAUUUUGAGGAUGAUAGCAGUGCCAGACCUUCUGCCUACUCUCAUUUUUAGUGUUCUUAUCCUUAAUCUCUUUCUAGAGUCUUUCUUCUGCAAGGGGAACAUCAUUUUCUCUCCCUAUGAAG